UGAGAGGAGCCACAUGUCCUUAUGGGGAGA
rnacentral:piRNA from 1 species